rnacentral:lncRNA from 1 species
UCAUGAUUUGAUGAUUUCUUUAUUUAAUCUCUUUUCAGAAUACGAAAAAAUUUAGAGCGAGAAAACAUUGUGUCUCUAGAUAAAGUUGUAGCAAAAGCGUGGGAACCCAUCCCUUUGGACAAAGGCAAUCCGAUUCGGCUUUUGGUAUAACAAAGAGUAUACGAGUUAGAUACAAAUGAUUCGUCUAGUUUGAGAAAAAAGAAGAAUAGAGGAAAGACAGACACAGAGUCAGAAACGUUUAUUGUGUCAGAAAUGUUCACAAAGGGUGAAUACUAUCUUAUCAAUGGCCACGGGUUUGAUCCAUGGGUUCUAGCGGAAUUCCACGCGGUACAGAUGAAAAGACUGGAAGACGCUCCCAACAGGAAGAGAAAAAUAUUAGUGUCAUCACAGAAGGCUCACUCAAUCACUCAAUUGGAACACAAGUAGAACACAAGCAGUUUUCGGUCAAGGUGCUAAUCCCUCUGCAUAUAUUCUACCUGUGUCUGCAGUUGUACCAUGCCUAAGUUUUUUUUCCUAUGUCGUCCACUUUUUGGAUGAGCCUCCAAGCUCAACUUAGUUUGUCAUCAGAGGACUCAUGAAAUGCUGUUCCAAAACGUAGAGUUGUAAAGAGGUGAGAUAUUGAACUUGUACAUGUUUCUUUGAACUAUUAUAACAGGGCUUCUGAUGGUCUGUGGAACCUGGAAAGUCAGAAACUUCAUGGGGAGCCUGGACAGUCAAGGAACUAAAGAUUAUGAGCUUUAAGGCCAUCUAUUAUGCUUAUUCAUAAAACUGAAUUCCAUUUUUCUGCUCUAUGAAAAGAAUAUUCUGGAAGAAAUUUAAGCCAGUGUUGGUUUCGUCUCCUUUCAACUUAUAAAAUAGGGGCAGAGAUUUUAAAACACCGCAACCGCAUUUUUACUUUUGAUACGCAACCAAUAAACCACUGUAGCAAGGAAUGUGUUAACAAUAACAACCUACUCUGCUGUGUUACCAAAUCUCUCCCAAUCAAGAAGUAAUUUUUGAGGUAAUUAUGGAAUUUUUUCCCCUCAAAAUUUUCUAUCCAACUAAAAAUUUUAUGUGAAAUUGCAAAUCAUCUUCUCUGUAAAUUGGAAGGAGUAUGUUUGCGAAUUUCCCCCAAAAUUCUCGCUUUUAUCAAGAUAGAUCAGACAACAUAUAAAUGCUCAUAAGGUGUUCUUCUUUACCACAGCAGUAAUCUGCUGUAUUCAUCCGGCUUGAAAUUUAUAUUGUUUUGGUUUUCAGCCGGCAUUAUUAUAGUGGGUUUCCUCUACCACUCAAAGUAGAACACAAGCAUUCUUGUUCAAGGUGCUAAUUCCUGUACAUAAAGCUAAGCAUUGGGGGUUAUACCAUGCCCAACUACCUCACUGUGUUUUCUAGUCUUUGGAGGAGGAUCCAACCUUACUGAACCUGUCGGUAAAGGACUGUGAAAGUACUGGCACUAAACAUCUAGUCAGAAAGUGGUGAAUAAUUGGUCUUGUAUAUGUAUUUUGUAUUCUUCAAAGGGUUUCUGAUGAGCUGCAAAACCUUCAAAAGUCAAGGAAUCAAUGCUGGCUUAGAAAAGUCAGGAAUCUUGAGGUUCUGAACUUGUCGUCUAGCUAAUAUUUACAGUUAUUCCAACGUCAUUUUUUUUAAAACUUCAGUUAUCUUCUGCUCUUUUCAAAGGAUUUUCUUUGAGAAUUUUAGACCACGAUGUUGUUUCGGUAUCCUUUUAAAGAAAUAAAAUAGGAGCAGAAAUUUUUGAUACAAUACAACUGAUAUACGCUUUUUGCAGUUUCACCAUCGCUAUGUACCUAAAACAUUGUGGUAGGCAACUUAUUAACAAUAACUUUUACUACUGUACUGCCUUCCUCCAGCUUGAAAUUUUCAUUGUUUUAUUUUUCAGGAGGUUUCAUUGGAUUUUCUCUAGAACGCAAAGUCGAACACAAGCAGUUCUUGUUUCUGUUCAAGGUAGUAAUUCCUCUACAUAGUGCCUACUAGUGUCGGCGGCUAUAGCAUCCGUAACUUGCUUACUGUGUUUUCUAUUUUUUGAAGACUGAUCUGCCUUCAACUCAGCCAGUCGACAGAGGACUGUUGAAAUACUGACCCAGAACAUCCAGUUGAAAAGAGGUGAGUUCUUGGUCUUGUACCUAUAUUUUAUAAUCUUUACCAUGUUUCCAGUGGUCUGCAGAACCCGGAAAGAGAAGUUAGCGUGUAAUUGAUGUGUAUACAGGUAGAGUCGAAAUAUGUAUUAAAGUGUGAUGUCAUUCCUAAUAGAUGAGAUAUUUCAAAAAGAGAAGAAUGAUUCUCCUUUCUCAUGGCAAGCUAAAAACCUUAAUUUUUUCAUCAUUUACACUUAAUUUGUAUCUGACUAGAGUUUUGAAUAUGGCAAUCAUUUAUUGAGUCUUAAAAAGCCAAGCCACAGUGUGUUUGAGUACAUUUGAAACUGACUGACGUUUGUAUAAAGCACUUCCUAUUUUCGACUUUCACCACCACCCAGUCCAUCCAACAAUCAAUGCAAGAACUUGCAAUCUGCACUGUCCAAAAAGUAUGGAUAGAAUACUUCUAAUUAAGGCAGUGAGAAUGGAAAACUGGGAAAAAUUAAAAUGUUCAGAAGACACCAAAAACUGCACAGUAGGUGAAAUGGUCAGUGUAAGGAAGCUUUUUAGUGCCAAAAAAGGUGUACGGAAAGACACUCAAAACACUUAAUUGAAAUGGAUGCACUGUAAAUACGCAUGGAUGCGCUACCGUGCAGUUUAAUGAGUCCCCUGAACAUUGACAGUUUUCUAAGUUGGCAUUUUUUCAUCCUCACUGAUUCAAUUACAGCCCUCAAAGCAAACAUAAAGACAGGAUUUUGAAGUGAACAUGUUUACUUAGAAAGAAAAUAUUGCUGGGUUAAAGGAGAAUUUUUCCAUUACAAUUUUUUUAUUUAAUCAUUAGCCUAGUUUUACGAAACUAUAACAGGAAAGUACUUUUUUGAUCUAACUAUAGGAAGCUCUGCAAGGGCCAGCGAAAAGGAAAGUAACACCAAAAGAUCCAAAAUGGUGCGGUUAUACCGUUCCAGAAAUUUGUACCCCACAGAGCUCUCAACGCAUCCUAUCGAUAGAGGCUUGUAGCCAUCUACCACGUACUCCCUCUAACCCUGAACGAUUGGCCAGUGCAUCUUGUCUCUGUAUCAGUACACGCUGGAAAAAAUCAAUGUAAUAGGCCCUAAUGAUUUGAUUGAUUCUACCACUAAAGCAGUACAUUUCAGAAUUCAGCUUUUAUUCAGUUUCAAUACAAAAGUUUCUCAGCAAUUCUAAUUAUUUCUAUUUCUGCAUGUUCCAGAUGGGCAAAGAAAAUUUGAAUUCCCAAAUAAAUUGGGAAACAUUGUUGGCUAGUGAAGUGCCAAUCAGCUUUGACUUCAACGUCAUGGAUCAUGUACCUGAUAGUAAUUACACCCGUGUUCUUGUGGAUACCUCUGAUUCUUCUUCGCUUUAAAAUUUUCCGCAAGAUCUACCUUUUCAAGAUCCAGUUGUUGAACUUAACAAAACUAGUUCUUCUGCUCUGCCUCUACAAGACUCAAUUCUUUAAGAUCCAGUUGUUGAUCUUAUCCAACCUACUUCUUCUAGUCUGACUCUACAAGACUCAGUUUUUCAAGACCCUGUUGUUAAGCCUACCAAACCUAGUUCCUCUAUUUUACAAACUUCUUUUUCGUCCCAAAAUUCUGUGCUAAUUGAUUUCUGUUCUAAUUCUGUUAAAAUUGUCAAACAGAUUCAACUAACAACUUCUCUGUAAAAAAAUAAAAGGAGGCCGAAAUUUUUAAAUGUCGUAUGGCGCUUGUAAUACUUUGGCCAGAAGGUGACGAAUGUACCUGUGAUCGAUUCAUUCAAAAUUGUUGAUUUUAUUUUACUUAUUUCACCUUCUUGUCUGAAGGUAUUACUUGAAGAGACAGCCUGUGGAAGGGCGUAUUAUAAAAUUUUUUAUUAUAAAGUUAUUUAUUGAUAAACUAUAAAAUUUCUUAUUCGAACUAUAAAUCUCUGACUUAAUCAACAACUGAAACUCAAUUAUACAGGAACAGUAACUUUGUAUAGUGCAUUUUAUUUUUAGUUCCCUUUUGUGUUCAAUCUUUUUUUCUAAAUCUGAGAGGAAUAAUUUUUAAUUUUUGAUUUUCGCACCUGCAUAUUUAUAAUUUUCGCUGCACAAAAUGCAAUCUGCCUUCUGAUACUGUUUCCGGCUGUUAAUUAAAUCAUAAGCUCUUCUUUG